rnacentral:rRNA from 1 species
AACGAACGCUGGCGGCAUGCCUAACACAUGCAAGUCGAACGAGACCUUCGGGUCUAGUGGCGCACGGGUGCGUAACGCGUUGGAACCUGCCCUUAGGUUCGGAAUAACUCCCCGAAAGGGGUGCUAAUACCGGAUAAUGUCUUCGGACCAAAGAUUUAUCGCCUUUGGAUGGGCCCGCGUUGGAUUAGCUAGUUGGUAGGGUAAAAGCCUACCAAGGCGACGAUCCAUAGCUGGUCUGAGAGGAUGAUCAGCCACACUGGGACUGAGACACGGCCCAGACUCCUACGGGAGGCAGCAGUGGGGAAUAUUGGACAAUGGGCGAAAGCCUGAUCCAGCAAUGCCGCGUGAGUGAUGAAGGCCUUAGGGUUGUAAAGCUCUUUUACCCGGGAUGAUAAUGACAGUACCGGGAGAAUAAGCGCCGGCUAACUCCGUG